rnacentral:rRNA from 1 species
UACGUAGGGGGCUAGCGUUGUCCGGAAUCAUUGGGCGUAAAGCGCGUGUAGGCGGUUGCCCAAGUCGGGUGUGAAAGCCUUGAGCUCAACUCAAGAAAUGCACUCGGUACUGGGUGACUAGAGGACCGGAGAGGAUAGUGGAAUUCCCAGUGUAGUGGUGAAAUACGUAGAGAUUGGGAAGAACACCAGUGGCGAAGGCGGCUAUCUGGACGGUUUCUGACGCUAAGACGCGAAAGCGUGGGGAGCAAACAGG